GUUGACCAACAAAAUAAGAAGCUGCGAAUAAGAUCCAGAUCUCGGUCAAGGUCAAAGUCACGGCCACCAGGUGAGGUUGCCCCUGGAGAGGGCUUUAAGGACUCUGCUCAGAAGGUGAAAGCCCUCAAACUUGCUAAGAAAUCUGUUAAAAAGAGGAACAAGGAUGCUCGCCGAGGAGAGGCAGAUAGAGUUAUUCCUAGUCUCAAACCUAAGCACUUAUUUUCUGGGAAGCGUUCCAUUGGGAAAACCCAAAGACGCUGAUUAUUCAAGGGGAAGGCGUGAUUAUAUUUUAAAGAGUUGUGCUGAGCUGACGUGGAUUGUAUUUGCUGCUUACAUGCCAAUAUCAUUUAUUUACUUAACUGCCCUGUUUGGGGCAGUGAAUGAGUUUUUUGUUUGAUCUUUGUCUGCUAAGUGCUAAGCCAAUUUUGAAUGAGAGA
rnacentral:misc_RNA from 1 species